rnacentral:rRNA from 1 species
AGAGUUUGAUCAUGGCUCAGGACGAACGCUGGCGGCGUGCCUAAUACAUGCAAGUCGAGCGAGCUUGCCUAGAUGAUUUUAGUGCUUGCACUAAAUGAAGCUAGAUACAAGCGAGCGGCGGACGGGUGAGUAACACGUGGGUAACCUACCCAAGAGACUGGGAUAACACCUGGAAACAGAUGCUAAUACCGGAUAACAACACUAGACGCAUGUCUAGAGUUUGAAAGAUGGUUCUGCUAUCACUCUUGGAUGGACCUGCGGUGCAUUAGCUAGUUGGUAAGGUAACGGCUUACCAAGGCAAUGAUGCAUAGCCGAGUUGAGAGACUGAUCGGCCACAUUGGGACUGAGACACGGCCCAAACUCCUACGGGAGGCAGCAGUAGGGAAUCUUCCACAAUGGACGAAAGUCUGAUGGAGCAACGCCGCGUGAGUGAAGAAGGGUUUCGGCUCGUAAAGCUCUGUUGGUAGUGAAGAAAGAUAGAGGUAGUAACUGGCCUUUAUUUGACGGUAAUUACUUAGAAAGUCACGGCUAACUACGUGCCAGCAGCCGCGGUAAUACGUAGGUGGCAAGCGUUGUCCGGAUUUAUUGGGCGUAAAGCGAGUGCAGGCGGUUCAAUAAGUCUGAUGUGAAAGCCUUCGGCUCAACCGGAGAAUUGCAUCAGAAACUGUUGAACUUGAGUGCAGAAGAGGAGAGUGGAACUCCAUGUGUAGCGGUGGAAUGCGUAGAUAUAUGGAAGAACACCAGUGGCGAAGGCGGCUCUCUGGUCUGCAACUGACGCUGAGGCUCGAAAGCAUGGGUAGCGAACAGGAUUAGAUACCCUGGUAGUCCAUGCCGUAAACGAUGAGUGCUAAGUGUUGGGAGGUUUCCGCCUCUCAGUGCUGCAGCU